rnacentral:tRNA from 1 species
AGAAACUUAGGAUAACCCGUCUAUUAAAACCGAAGGCCUUCAAAGCCUUAAAUAAGAGUUAAAUCCUCUUAGUUUCUG